CUAAGGUUCGACUCGAGCGCCAGCGAGAGAGCGUUGCCGCAGGCAACGACCCGAAGGGCGAAGCGCGCAGCGCUGAGUAAUCCUUCCCCCACCACCA
rnacentral:sRNA from 1 species